GUUGGGAAAGAGGACCCUAAAAUGGAGCCCAGGGAGAGGAAGCAGAAGGAAAAACAAAAAAACCAAAAACAUCAGAAAAAUUGAGGCUAGAAUACAGCGAUGUUUAACUCUCAAGGGGUGGCUUCUCUGUCCUUUUUCCUGAGCAUGGGGACAAAUUUGUUUUGUUUUCUGAGGGCAGCUGGCCUUGCCUGAGUCCUGGCUGUAAACUUGAGUUCGCUGCAGCAGGCAGGACCGGCUUCCUGCAAGCUUGCAUCAAUGAGAAGGCCCAAGGUAUAGGAGAUUCUGAUAGCAGUGACUGGAAUGUCUGAGAUGUUAAAAGAUUUGGUUUGAAGAAACUUGAAUGCAUCAUCGCUGAGAUCUUCUGAGGUCAGCUUCUGAAGGACUCUUCUUGCAUAUGGCCCUGCAACUCCCAGGACCCCAAACUCAUCGGUUAUGUUUUGAAUUUCCACAUCAUAUCCACCUCUGAAGGCUGCUUCUUCAAUCCAUCUGCAUUGGGAUCAUAAGCCUGGAUACUAAACGUGGGGCCGCCGAGAUGACUCAGAGGGCGAAGGUACCUUCCACCAAGUCUGACAACCUGAGCUCAUUCCCUAGGACCCAUGUGGUGGGAGGAGAGGAGAGAACUGUCUCCAGCAGGUCAUCCUCUGACCCCUGCACAAGUGUCAUGACAUCUGAAUACCCACAUACACACACCGAUCAGUCAGUCAGUCAGUCAGUCAGUCAAUCAAUCAAUCAGUGUAAGAAAUAUUAAGUCUAAAUCAGCACUCACUAUCCCCACACCAGUACCCCUCACACUCCUGGGGAAAACAAUGCUAUUCUUACUGAAACAAAAAUCACCUUUUCAGUAAAGAGAAACAAAAUGUGUGCUUGUUUUCCCUCCAACAUUUAACUCAAUCAUUAUUUUUAAAAGAAGAAUAAAUUGGUUUGUCAGGAGAGAUUUUUUAAAUCUUUCAAUUAACAUAAAAGUGAGAGCAAAUGGGCUGUGCAGUUAGUUACUCCAGGACACUGGAGGAGUGCUCCGGGCUCUGCGAGGGAGGAGCUGAGAGCACCUUGACUGACAAUGGCUCCUUUCAUCAGGCCACCUCCUCCCUACAGCUUGUUUCCACAUGUGUCCAUGGGCUAAGGUCCUGCACACAGAAGUGAGUCUUGCACAACCACCACUUUUUCUUGUCCUACAAGUCACUGUGACUCAAAGCAGGGUCACGGAUAAACAUCACGACAUUUGUCCACACAGUAUCCACCCAGGUUCCUCCUGCCCUUCUUGAGAACUGCAGGUCAGGGUAGUGGCAUGGAGCUUCCAGGCUAGCAGGGUUGCCCUAGGACACAUGGACACCCAUGCAGGAACAACUCACAGUCUGGCUUUCCCUCCC
rnacentral:lncRNA from 1 species